CUAGAUCAGAAGCGAGAAUGUUGACAUGAGUAGCGACAAACAGGGUGAGAAACCCUGUCGCCGAAAGUCCAAGGGUUCCUGCUUAAAGCUAAUCUGAGCAGGGUAAGCCGGCCCCUAAGGCGAGGCCGAAAGGCGUAGUCGAUGGGAACCAGGUUAAUAUUCCUGGGCCAGUGGGAUGUGACGGAUCGCAGAUGUAGUUUGCCCUUAUCGGAUUGGGUGGGCUGCUGAGCGGUUCCAGGAAAUAGCCCCACAUCAGACCGUACCCUAAACCGACACAGGUGGACUGGUAGAGUAUACCAAGGCGCUUGAGAGAACCACGUUAAAGGAACUCGGCAAAAUGCCUCCGUAAGUUCGCGAGAAGGAGGCCCCAUAUGUACGCAAGUAUGUGUGGGGGGCACAAACUAGGGGGUGGCGACUGUUUACUUAAAACACAGGGCUGUGCGAAGCCGUAAGGCGACGUAUACAGUCUGACGCCUGCCCGGUGCUGGAAGAUUAAGAGGAGGGGUGCAAGCUCUGAAUUGAAGUCCCAGUAAACGGCGGCCGUAACAAUAACGGUCCUAAGGUAGCGAAAUUCCUUGUCGGGUAAGUUCCGACCUGCACGAAUGGCGUAACGAUCUCCCCGCUGUCUCUAACGUGGACUCAGCGAAAUUGAACUGUGUGUCAAGAUGCACACUACCCGCGGUUAGACGGAAAGACCCCAUGAACCUUUACUCCAGCUUUGCACUGGUAUCAGGAUUGUGAUGUGCAGGAUAGGUGGUAGGCAUUGAAGCGGGGACGCCAGUCUUCGUGGAGCCUCCCUUGAGAUACCACCCUUCGCCAUCUUGAUAUCUAACCGCGGCCCGUUAUCCGGGUCCGGGACCCUGCAUGGUGGGGAGUUUGACUGGGGCGGUCGCCUCCCAAACAGUAACGGAGGCGCGCGAUGGUUGGCUCAGACCGGUCGGAAAUCGGUCGUUGAGUGCAAUGGCAGAAGCCAGCCUGACUGCAAGACUGACAAGUCGAGCAGAGACGAAAGUCGGUCAUAGUGAUCCGGUGGUCCCAAGUGGGAGGGCCAUCGCUCAACGGAUAAAAGGUACUCUGGGGAUAACAGGCUGAUGAUGCCCAAGAGUCCAUAUCGACGGCAUCGUUUGGCACCUCGAUGUCGGCUCAUCUCAUCCUGGGGCUGGAGCAGGUCCCAAGGGUAUGGCUGUUCGCCAUUUAAAGAGGUACGUGAGCUGGGUUUAGAACGUCGUGAGACAGUUCGGUCCCUAUCUGCCGUGGGUGCAGGAGACUUGAGAAGAGUUGACCCUAGUACGAGAGGACCGGGUUGAACGAACCACUGGUGGACCAGUUAUCGUGCCAACGGUAGUGCUGGGUAGCUAUGUUCGGACAGGAUAACCGCUGAAGGCAUCUAAGCGGGAAGCCCCCUUCAAAACAAGGUCUCCCUUGAGGGCCGUGGAAGACGACCACGUCGAUAGGCCAGAGGUGUAAGUGCAGCAAUGCAUUCAGCUGACUGGUACUAAUUGCCC
rnacentral:rRNA from 1 species